UUUGUUUGUUUGUUUUGUCUGUUUUUUUUAUUUUCCCUGUGCUUUAUGGAAAUGAAUCUUGAAUUAUGGCGCUUUGCAAGUUUGAAAAUAAAAUGGGUUGAAUGGUUCAGGCAGCCAACUUGAGUUGGCUGCACGCACACACAUGCGCAACAUUCUCCGCACUGCUUUAAACACACACCGACACACACUUGACCUGUGAAGCUCUCUAAACCCUGAAAAUGCUUUUCCCAAUUCCUGCUGCACUCCCUGCAAGACACAGCUCAGCCAGUGUUGCCAGAUCUGCAGACUUUCAGCUUAACAAAAAUAUUGCAUUAACCGUUUCAGAAUUCCAGUCAUUUUUAUUCAUCCUGCCUCCAUUUUUCAUUGAACAAAGAUAAUUAUUAUUCUCAUACAAAUAAUUAGUUUUGCAGUCAGUUUUCUUUUGACACGCCAGGAGACAGAUACACAAACAUUCCCAAAUCACUGCAUCAUUAAGAAAUACUAACAACAUGGGGCUGCAUGGUAAAUCUGUCUGGAGGAGGCAGUUCUGAAAAACUGAGUGAGUGAGGGAAGCCACCACGACACCUAUGGCAACUCUGAAGGUGUUACAGGCUUCUGUGGCUGUGAUUGGACAACUCCAUCAAGCUGAUAUACAGAGGCAAAUUUUCAUAAAUCACGUCCACCUACUUAUGGACCCCUUUAAUUAGUUUAUUUCCUAACUUCCAAACUGAACUGACCACGUCGUAUAAUCUGCACACAGUAUUAGGACCAUUGUUAAGGGAGAUAUUCUUUGUUAGUAACAAGACCGUCUUUGCACCACGGGCUCAGAAGCUCCGUCCCUCACUGCACAAUGAGCAACAAUCUUAGUUCUUAAACCUGCCAAGAUCAGGAACAAACAACAAACGGUUUUAUUUAUUAAUUAAUAUUAGUAAUAAUAACAAAAAAUCAAGUAAAACAACCAGUUCCUACCAGGCUGUAAUCACUGUCCUUAAUUAUAUUGCACUUUGUGAUUACUGGUGCAAAAACUAACUCGGUCCACAGUUGAGGUUUUCUGUUCGACAAUCACGACUUUGGAUUAGGAGACAAAUUAUUUUUUGCUGUCACAAGUUUCCAAAUUGCUAGAGGGACAAUGUCAUAUAAUUUGUUAAUUGGAUGCUUUGGUGAUGGAAAAAUGAAGCAAAUAUUAAAAGGUUGUUUACUUUGGGGCUUCAUUUGAAGUGCUAAAAUUCUUCUUUUCAGCUUUUUUUCAACAGGUGUGGUUGCUUGUUUCUCUUGGGAAAUCUGGCAACACAGAUGGCUGCACUUGCUUUAUGUCUAAUCAUCCUCACGUCCAACUCUAGGCUCUCUAGGUACUUAUCAAAUGAAAAGUUAUGAUCACUCCCUUUGCAGCUUAAAAGCGUGCUUGCGGAGAGUGACGCAAAUUUGAAUCUGAUUUAUGCAGCUAUUCUACGUAAACUGGUUAGCUGACAUCAAGUU